rnacentral:rRNA from 1 species
CGGGUGAGUAUAAUGUGGGAAUCUGCCUUUUGGUCUGGAAUAACACGAGGAAACUUGUGCUAAUACCGGAUAAGCCUUCACAGGGAAAGUUUUAAUGCCAAAAGAUGAGCCCGCACUUGAUUAGCUAGUUGGUAAGGUAAUAGCUUACCAAGGCAACGAUCAAUAGCUGUUCUUAGAGGAAGACCAGCCACAUUGGGACUGAGACACGGCCCAAACUCCUACGGGAGGCAGCAGUGGGGAAUCUUGCACAAUGGGGGAAACCCUGAUGCAGCGAUGCCGCGUGAGUGAAGAAGGCCUUUGGGUUGUAAAACUCUUUCGUCGGGGAAGAAAAUGACUGUACCCGAAUAAGAAGGUCCGGCUAACUUCGUGCCAGCAGCCGCGGUAAUACGAAGGGACCUAGCGUAGUUCGGAAUUACUGGGCUUAAAGAGUUCGUAGGUGGUUAAAAAAGUUGAUGGUGAAAUCCCAAGGCUCAACCUUGGAACUGCCAUCAAAACUUUUUAGCUA